GCACCAUAGAGUAAGCCUGGCUCUCUAAAGCAGAAAUGUCACUUCUGUGAGAAUGACAGUUUUUUCCAUCACCCCACUAAAUAUGAUAGAAGCACUUAUUUUGAUAAGCAGUAAGUAAAAACUACACUUAACUCCACAGCACUCUGCUUUGACCAUGCCCUACAACAGGGGUUGGCAGCCUUUGGCACUGCUGCAAAACAGUUUGCCCUAUUACUGGGAAAUUUCCUGGUG